GCUAGAGUGAUGGUAGCGCGCUGCGCGG
rnacentral:sRNA from 1 species